GUUGUUCAAAGCACAGCACAAGGGUUCAGCAGACAUUGGUUCUCCCGUCACCCUGUUCGCAGGGACAUGUUAUGUGUCCUUUGGCACGUCAUUGUUGCUCAUCUGUUCUAUGAGCACCUUGUCACCUCUGGAGGAUGCUCCGAGUUCCAUAGUGCUAGCAUAUGUACCCUUGGUCUGUAAUCGGUCCCAAGAAAGCUCUUUGAUACUCAGAGUGAUGCCUCCCACUCACAACACUCUGCAACUCCACUACACCUUCAGCCAUGUCAUCACUACUGCUGCAGUGCCAGCCACUGAGCAGGAAACUGAUUUAAGGAAUCCAGCUGCUGGGGACCAGCUACAGCACAAGAGGAAGAUAUGGGAGAAUGCCCAUAAGGAGCCACUGACUGCCAAAGGGCAACUUAUCCUGAAGGGUUAUUCAGGAUAAGAUGAGAUGCCACGUGAUGAGAUGUGCUCUAAGAUGCGAUGUGCUCUAUUUGCCCAGCUAACAAAUGAAAAUGUGGAUUUCCAGACUUGCCAGUUCAAGGGAAGAUCAGCUGCAAAAGCCAGAGCAGUUUUUCCUGGGUCUCCCAUCCUCAGCAGUGAAGGCUGCAUAAGAAAGACAAGUCUGCAAAUUGGGCUUGGGUGAAAUGUGCAGAUAUGCCCAGGAACAAGUCAAUUUACUACAAGAGAUCUAUUUAUCCACAAUCACUAUUUAGAGUAAAACUGAGCUUUGAACUUUUGAAGGCACUUUCACAAUAGAGGGGUUUGCUGUGGUGUCCUUGGCCAAAAAAAUAGUCCCCUUAUUUUCAUCCUGCUAACAUAUGCCAGCUGGCUGCCACCCUCCAUUCCUGGCAUGGCUGCACUUCAGUUUUCUUGUGUGUUUAAAGUUUGUGCAGUGUGAUUUAGGGUUCUUUGGGAUGAAAUGUACUAUGUAAAUAUAAACUUUCAUUUCUGAAGCCUGUCUGUAGACAUUAAGAGCCUAAUUCAUCCCACCAAGCAGACAUCCACAUGAAGAGCUGCCCAAACAGAUGUGUCUCUCAGUAUCUUCUGGCAUCUCAC
rnacentral:lncRNA from 14 species